rnacentral:piRNA from 1 species
UAAUGUGUUUGUUGCAUUGCAUUAGUGUGU